AGGACGAACGCUGGCGGCGCGCCUAACGACAUGCAAGUCGAGCGAGAACCGGGGCUUCGGUCCCGGGGACAGCGGCGAACGGGUGCGUAACACGUGAGCAACCUGCCCCGAAGACCGGGACAACCCGAGGAAACUCGGACUAAAUACCGGAUGUACUCACCGGAUCGCAUGGUCUGGUGAGGAAAUGGAUUCCGCUUCGGGAUGGGCUCGCGGUCUAUCAGCUUGUUGGUGGGGUAACGCCUACCAAGGCGACGACGGAUAGCUGGUCUGAGAGGACGAUCAGCCACACUGGGACUGAGACACGGCCCAGACUCCUACGGGAGGCAGCAGUGGGGAAUCUUGCGCAAUGGGGGAAACCCUGACGCAGCGACGCCGCGUGCGGGAUGAAGGCCUCGGUUGUAAACCGCUUUCAGCAGGGACGAAAUUGACGGUACCUGCAGAGAAGGCCGGCAACUACGUGCCAGCAGCCGC
rnacentral:rRNA from 1 species